rnacentral:rRNA from 1 species
GUAGGUGGCAAGCGUUGUCCGGAAUUAUUGGGGCGUAAAGCGCGCGCAGGCGGUCCUUUAAGGUCUGAUGUGAAAGCCCACGGGCUCAACCGUGGAGGGUCAUUGGAAACUGGGGGACUUGAGUACAGAAGAGGAAAGCGGAAUUCCACGUGUAGCGGUGAAAUGCGUAGAGAUGUGGAGGAACACCAGUGGCGAAGGCGGCUUUCUGGUCUGUAACUGACGCUGAGGCGCGAAAGCGUGGGGAGCAAACAGGAUUAGAUACCCUGGUAGUCCACGCCGUAAACGAUGAGUGCUAAGUGCUAGGGGGUUUCCGCCCCUUAGUGCUGCAGCUAACGCAUUAAGCACUCCGCCUGGGGAGUACGGCCGCAAAGGCUG